rnacentral:lncRNA from 1 species
UAUAUAUAGGAAAAUGCUAAACAGUGCCCCCGGGGCACUAGUUAAGGAUACAAAUAUAGAAGUUUUAUCUCGUAAAUUGUGCAUUCAAUGUUUUAAUGAAGUGAAAAGUUAUUCUCUCUCAUCAUUAACUUUAUCAUUUGUUUCCUUUUUUAGUAUGCUUAACUAGUGCCCCAGGGGCACUGUUUAGCAUGACCCAUAUAUAUAUUAU